CCCUUAGAUGUUCUGGGCCGCACGCGCGCUACACUGACGAAUGCAACGAGCUUAUAACCUUGGCCGAAAGGUCUGGGUAAUCUCCAAAUUUCGUCGUGAUGGGGAUAGAUUAUUGCAAUUAUUAAUCUUCAACGAGGAAUGCCUAGUAAGCGCAAGUCAUCAGCUUGCGUUGAUUACGUCCCUGCCCUUUGUACACACCGCCCGUCGCUCCUACCGAUUGAAUGGUCCGGUGAAGCGUUCGGACCGUGGCCUUUGGACGGUUCGCCGUCUGUUGGCUGCAGGAAGUUCGUUAAACCUUAUCAUUUAGAGGAAGGAGAAGUCGUAACA
rnacentral:rRNA from 1 species